UGUUAUAUAUUUCAUUAGGUCUUUCCACCUUUCUUGUGGAAAGACCUAUUGUAUUUGUUCUAAUUAUUUUUUUUUUCUUCCGCCUAAUUUUUUUCUUGCGGUGUAAAAAUGUUUCAAAAGAUGUCGCUUAGUUUUUUUGUAUAUGAUAUCAUUCAGUCUAUACGCUUUUGAAACUGACCCUGUUUAACCGAACACUUUUCUUUGUAAGAGUUAUCUCCCCAAACACUGUUUUUCUUGUUAUCAGAUCUCCUCCGCAACCGUAAAAGAAAGCGACAAAUUUAUUUUUCCAAAUUGCUCGUUAUAUCCUCAGGAUGUUACGUUUUAUUUUCACCGAAGCUUUACGAAGACUCCAUAUGAGAGUUAUUUCCCCUUUUGUAAUGAAAUAAAU
rnacentral:lncRNA from 1 species